rnacentral:lncRNA from 1 species
AGAUAUUAGAAUUCAUGUGGGCGAGACUUACAUAUUAUAAUUGCUGGAAAUCUUGCCACAUGUUAAUCUGGUAUUUUUCUCCUUUUCCUUUUUUUUCUAGUUUUUACACUACGAGGUAUUUACGACGAUUUCUGCUUACGUGGUAUUUACGACGAUUUCAUCCAACGUGGUCUUUACGACGAUUUGGGCUUACGUGGAAUUAACGAGUGUUUUGUUUAAAUCCUUUUACG